AUGGCUCCAAAAUCACCUCCAAUUUUUACCAAACUCGAUGUCCUGUGCAAUAUUAUUAUCAGUAUAUUUCAGUAUAUUAUUAGUAUAUCUAUCAUACAUUGUAGUGCCCACAUGAUCUACAGUGUCCUAAGGCAGCUGCUACUGAUUAUUAUAAAAUUUGUAAAUUUGCUCAGAGAGUGGCCAUACCUUUCACAGAAUAUACUAGGUGUCGUUCAAAAGGUUUUUACAUUGAGAACUUCUCUUAUUUAAUAUUAAAGAAAGGAGAGAGACCUCAUCAAUUCAUUGAUGAUAUUCCUUGUCGUCUUUUAUUGCCGACUAAGAAAAGAACUAAACACACAAUAUGUGAACUUUGCUGUCCUAAUGGUAAAGCUGUUACACUUAUCUUCAGUAAAGCAAAGCAAAGAGAAUUAUUGAGGACUACUCGUAA